GUUAGGAAUAUUGGUCAAUGGACGAAAGUCUGAACCAGCCAUUCCGCGUGCAGGAAGAAGAUUCUAUGGAUUGUAAACUGCUUUUAGCAGAGAAGAAACGCCUUCAUUGAUGAGGGUUUGACGGUAUCUGCGGAAUAAGCACCGGCUAACUCCGUGCCAGCAGCCGCGGUAAUACAGGGGGUGCAAGCGUUAUCCGGAAUCACUGGGUUUAAAGGGUGCGUAGGCGGGAAAUUAAGUCAGUGGUGAAAGUCUGUUGCUUAACGAUAGAAUUGCCGUUGAUACUGAUUUUCUUGAAUUGGGUUGAGGUUAGCGGAAUGUGACAUGUAGCGGUGAAAUGCAUAGAUAUGUCAUGGAACACCAAUUGCGAAGGCAGCUAGCUGGGCCUUGAUUGACGCUGAGGCACGAAAGCGUGGGUAGCGAACAGGAUUAGAUACCCCUGUAGUCC
rnacentral:rRNA from 1 species